AACUUUAUCUUUUGGUUUCCUUUUGCUGGUGAGUUUGGGCUUAGCUUCGGCGGCCCGAUCUCUUCUUUCUUACGAUAUUCCUCCUCAUCGAUCUGGAUACGAUAAUUAUGAUCAUCCUGUAGUUAACCCUAAAGUAGGAUACGAACAUGACCGUCGUGAUGGAUACUACCAUGACCGUGACCAUCAUGAUGCACCUUAUGGUGGUGGUGCUGGUGGAGGAUAUGGAGCUGGAGCUGGAGCUGGCUCAUCUCUUGGAGGCUCUGGAUAUGGAAGUGGAGGAGGUGGUGGUUCUGGAUAUGGAGGUGUAGGAAACCACGAGGUUGGUUAUGGUAGUGGUGGAGGGGGUGGAUAUGGAGCUGGAGUUGGCUCUGACCUUGGUGGUAGCGGAUACGGAAGCGGUGGUGGUGGAGGCAGUGGAGGAGGAUACGGUGAUUUAGGAGGACGUGGAAAAGGGUACGGUAGCGGUGGAGGUGGAGGAAGUGGAUAUGGAGGUAGAGGAGACCAUGGAGUUGGUUAUGGAAGUGGUGGAGGUGGAGGAUAUGGAAGUGGAGUAGGUGGUGGUGCAGGAGUGGUAGACCAUGGUGUAGGUUAUGGGAGUGGAGGAGGAGGUGGGGCUGGUAGUGGUUAUGGUGGUUCCAAAGGAUAUGGAGGUGGAAGCGGCGGCGGUGGGGGAGCCGGUUAUGGUGGUGGAGCACAUGGAAGUGGAUAUGGAAGUGGUGGUGGAGCUGGAAGUGGUGAAGAAGGAGGAUAUGAUGGUGGAUAUGCACCGUAAACAAAGAAAAGAAAAGAAAAAGCUCAAAGUUUUAUGGCUAAAAUGAGAAUGCUUACCCUAAUAUCAUCAAUGUGUGUGUGUGUUAGCAAAAAAAAAAAAUAAAAGAAUUUGGGUAAGAAAUGUUAUAUUAAUUAUCUUUGAGCUUUUAAGUAAUUUGAAUGUAAUAUAAUAUAUAUAUAAAAAAAG
rnacentral:lncRNA from 1 species